rnacentral:rRNA from 1 species
CCUACGGGCGACAGCAGUGGGGAAUAUUGGGCAAUGGGCGCAAGCCUGACCCAGCAACGCCGCGUGAAGGAUGAAGGCUUUCGGGUUGUAAACUUCUUUUGUCAGGGAAGAGUAGUAGACGGUACCUGACGUAUAAGCCACGGCUAACUACGUGCCAGCAGCCGCGGUAAUACGUAGGUGGCAAGCGUUGUCCGGAUUUACUGGGUGUAAAGGGCGUGUAGCCGGGUUGACAAGUCAGAUGUGAAAUCCUGCGGCUUAACCGCAGAACUGCAUUUGAAACUGUUGAUCUUGAGUACUGGAGAGGCAGGCGGAAGUCCUAGUGUAGCGGUGAAAUGCGUAGAUAUUAGGAGGAACACCAGUGGCGAAGGCGGUCUGCUGGACAGCAACUGACGGUGAGGCGCGAAAGCGUGGGGAGCAAACAGGAUUAGAUACCCGAGUAGUC